GACGAACGCUGGCGGCGUGCUUAACACAUGCAAGUCGAACGAAGAGCGAUGGAAGCUUGCUUCUAUCAAUCUUAGUGGCGAACGGGUGAGUAACGCGUAAUCAACCUGCCCUUCAGAGGGGGACAACAGUUGGAAACGACUGCUAAUACCGCAUACGAUCUAAUCUCGGCAUCGAGGAUAGAUGAAAGGUGGCCUCUACAUGUAAGCUAUCACUGAAGGAGGGGAUUGCGUCUGAUUAGCUAGUUGGAGGGGUAACGGCCCACCAAGGCGAUGAUCAGUAGCCGGUCUGAGAGGAUGAACGGCCACAUUGGGACUGAGACACGGCCCAGACUCCUACGGGAGGCAGCAGUGGGGAAGCUUCCGCAAUGGACGAAAGUCUGACGGAGCAACGCCGCGUGAGUGAUGACGGCCGUCGGGUUGUAAAGCUCUGUUAAUCGGGACGAAAGGCCUUCUUGCGAAUAGUGAGAAGGAUUGACGGUACCGGAAGAGAAAGCCACGGCUAACUACGUG
rnacentral:rRNA from 1 species